rnacentral:lncRNA from 1 species
UUAACUCACGGCCACAUUUAUCUGGAAGAUGACGCUCUGCCUGGUGCACCAUUUUGUCCUUGAGGGGAUUCAACACGCAAGCUGCAGCAUGCAUAACGCAGGCCUGCCGCACGACUAGGACUGACAUUACACAAAGACGCAGGCCUAGUACUCAAAAACUCUGUUGACUAGCAACACUUUGGUGCGGCUCCUUGGAGCUCUGUCUCCUCCUGCUAUUUCACUAUUCACACACUGUACCAACACUGUUCAUCGAAGCCUAUUUUCU